CAGUAGCCGCGGUAAGACGAACCGUGCGAACGUUAUUCGGAAUCACUGGGCUUAAAGCGCGUGUAGGCGGGUCGGCACGUCGGCCGUUGAAAUCCCCCGGCUCAACCGGGGAAGCGGCGCCGAUACGGCCGGCCUCGAGGGACGUAGGGGGGGCUGGAACUUCCGGUGGAGCGGUGAAAUGCGUUGAGAUCGGAAGGAACGCCCGUGGCGAAAGCGAGCCCCUGGACGUCUACUGACGCUGAGACGCGAAAGCCAGGGGAGCGAACGGGAUUAGAUACCCCUGUAGUCCCUGUCUCUUAUA
rnacentral:rRNA from 1 species